GUGAUUCAGUGGCGAACGGGUGCGUAACACGUGGGCAAUCUACCGAGAAGUGGGGGAUAGCUCGCCGAAAGGCGAAUUAAUACCGCAUGUGAUCAGAGGCGACAUCGCUUCGAAAUCAAAGGUGGCGCAAGCUACCGCUUUUUGAGGAGCCCGCGGCCUAUCAGCUUGUUGGUGAGGUAACGGCUCACCAAGGCUUUGACGGGUAGCUGGUCUGAGAGGACGACCAGUCACACUGGGACUGAGACGCGGCCCAGACACCUACGGGUGGCAGCAGUCGAGAAUUUUUCUCAAUGGGGGAAACCCUGAAGGAGCGACGCCGCGUGGAGGAUGAAGGUCUUCGGGUUGUAAACUCCUGUCAUUUGGGAACAAGGCUGUGCGGUUAACUGCCGUGCAGUUGAUAGUACCAGAAGAGGAAGAGACGGCUAACUCUGUGCCAGCAGCCGCGGUAAUACAGAGGUCUCAAGCGUUGUUCGGAUUCAUUGGGCGUA
rnacentral:rRNA from 1 species